UACGUAGGUGGCAAGCGUUGUCCGGAUUUACUGGGCGUAAAGCGCGCGCAGGCGGACUGAUCAGUCUGGGGUGAAAUCUCCCGGCUCAACUGGGAGCGGUCCCUGGAUACUGUCAGUCUUGAGAGACCUAGAGGAGAGCGGAAUUCCCGGUGUAGUGGUGGAAUGCGUAGAUAUCGGGAAGAACACCAGUGGCGAAGGUGGGUCUCUGGACAGUUCCUGACGCUGAGGCACGAAGGUCAGGGGAGCAAACGGG
rnacentral:rRNA from 1 species